rnacentral:rRNA from 1 species
UACAGAGGGUGCGAGCGUUGUCCGGAAUCACUGGGCGUAAAGGGCGCGUAGGCGGCUUGAUAAGCGUGCGGUGAAAGCCCGGGGCUCAACCCCGGGUCGGCCGUGCGAACUGUCGAGCUGGAGCACUGUAGAGGCAGGUGGAAUUCCGGGUGUAGCGGUGGAAUGCGUAGAGAUCCGGAAGAACACCGGUGGCGAAGGCGGCCUGCUGGGCAGUGGCUGACGCUGAGACGCGAAAGCGUGGGGAGCGAACAGG